UGCCAGACUCCUACGGGAGGCAGCAGUGAGGAAUAUUGGUCAAUGGCCGGAAGGCUGAACCAGCCAAGCCGCGUGAGGGAGGAAGGCGCAGAGCGUCGCAGACCUCUUUUGCCGGGGGACAAAAGGCCGGACUCGUCCGGUCCUGAGGGUACCCGGAGAAAAAGCAUCGGCUAACUCCGUGCCAGCAGCCGCGGUAAUACGUAGGUGGCAAGCGUUGUCCGGAUUUACUGGGUGUAAAGGGCGUGCAGCCGGGAGUGCAAGUCAGAUGUGAAAUCCCGCGGCUCAACCGCGGAACUGCAUUUGAAACUGUGCUUCUUGAGUGCUGGAGAGGCAGACGGAAUUCCUAGUGUAGCGGUGAAAUGCGUAGAUAUUAGGAGGAACACCAGUGGCGAAGGCGGUCUGCUGGACAGUAACUGACGGUGAGGCGCGAAAGCGUGGGGAGCAAACAGGAUUAGAUACCCCCGUAGC
rnacentral:rRNA from 1 species